CUUAAAACCAGACGGAUUUCUCCUCUUCCCUUAAGGUGAAAUGCGAGAACAACAACGUGAUAACCUCGUCCAUGCGGUUGUAGUCGCAGAGGGAGCAGCUGUCGGAAGCCGAGAAGUAAAUGCCUUUAGCGUCCUUCAAAAUAUCCUUGGAGCAGGACCUCUUAUUAAGAGAGGAAGCAGGAUUACCAGCAAACUUGUCCAGGAAAUUACAAAGACGACUUCCCUACCCUUUGAUGUAACAGCAUUCAAUGUGAAUUAUUCUGAUUCUGGUCUUUUUGGCAUAUAUACCAUCUCUCAAGCUUCAGUCACCAGGGAGGUAAUCAAAGCGGCUUUGAAUCAAGUGAAGGCUGUUUCCGAGGGUGGAGUUACUGAGGAAGAAGUGAAAAGAGCCAAGUAAGUUUCCCACUCCCCACUCCCCCAAGAUUGUUUGAUUAUACAGUGAUUUUUUCACUCUCCAAAAAUAUUGUGGGUCCUUCUUCUUUCUGAUAAGCUUUUUUGACUAACAGGUAUGGCUAUGUGUAAUAUAAUUCUCUGGGUCUGUUAAACCUUUAUUAAGCUAGAGUAAAAAAAAAAAAUCACAGCUUUCUGUAUGUGUGAAACUUGUUCAUCAUCCAAAAUGAACAAUAAAGUAUUCAGAAGCAAGGUUAUAACGGAGAUAGAGCACAUGGUUUUUAUUAUGUAUUUGUUUGUUUGAGUUUUAUCCCUUUAUUAAUUCAUAAGUAAUCCAAGAUGAACGUAUACAAUAUUCCUUCCUCCUUUUAGUCCCACAACCAACCACCUUGUGAGGUGUGGGUUAGGCUAAGAGAGGGGGACUGCCCAAAGUCGGCCAGCCAGCAGCAUUCAUGGCUAAGCUGGGACUCAAACUCACCAUCUCCUGGUGAUUGGCCCAAAAUCAUUCAGGUUUUCCUGCCUAAGGCAGGACUAGAACUCACAGUUUCCUGGUUUCUAGGCCGGCACCCUAACGACCUCACCAACCUGGUUAAAUGCAGAACUUCCUGGUGUCCCAAGAGCAUUGUCUUGUCUGAGAUUCUUAGCCAUUGCUCUGUCAGUCCAGAGAAAAUGAGAUAAGUGGCCAAACAGUUAAUUUGUUGUAUUUGCAAUCAGUUGAAUCAUUUUUUU